AACUGUUAUGUGCAUGAAUGAAAAGAUAUAUGUUUGUGAUAAAUGUUAUGUGUGUUAAAUGUUAUGUGACGAAUGGUACGGGUUUGUGAUAAGUGCUGCGUGUUUGAAAUAACUGUUAUGUGCAUGAAUGAAAAGAGUGAAGUGUAAAUGUGUGAUAUGCCGGAGUGUGUGUUAAAGAUCCUGAUAGUGUGUUGGCUCAUUGUCUGUGCUGUGUUUUUGGGAGGUUUGACACAUCUGACGUUAAAGCAGCUGAGAAAGUGUUGUGUGAAAUACUGUUCUGUCAGUAUUAAAGAAGUGUGGCAGGGGAAGGUUAAGAACAGGUGAAGCUGAUAGCACACAAGGGGAGCCCAGAUUUGCGGGGGCCGUUCUGGGUUGGCGCCUGGGCCGUUCGUGUGUGUGCUCGUGGACCUGCGGGGCCCUCGCUCAUUUGGCGGUUUGUCCGUUCACAAAGGGGGCGCAUUCAGUCAGUUGUCUUGGGCGAUAUAGCCGCCGUGCCUUAAGGCAGUGGGAUGUUCGGCUGUCUGUGGCGCAGUCUGCCGUGUUGUGCGAUAUAGCCGCUGGACCGACUAAACGGUGGGUUGUGUGACUGUCUGAAGCCUAUUCAGCUCCAGUCGUCGCCCAUUUGCCGGCCCAGUGUGUUUUCGCCCAAUCGGCGGCUGUUGCUUUAACUGCAGCCGGGGCCCCUGCUGGUCCGGUGUGUUUUCGCCCAGCCGGUGGCUUGUCUGCGCGCCUGGUGUUCGUUCACUCGGCUGUCUGUUCGGGGCUGCGUUGGGCCUGCGGGUGCUCAUGUGUCUGGUCUGGUUCGCUGGCCUGGGGCGUGUCGCGGCUUAGCUGGGGGCCCGACGGAUCAUAACUUAGAAGGGGUUGCUGAGAAGUAGGAAACUGUUACUAGCAGGUGUUAGAGCAGAAAAGUUGCUGAGGACCAGCAAUUGAAAGUAGGAAACUGUUACUAGCAGGUGUUAGAGCAGAAAAAUUGCUGAGGACCAGCAAUUACUGUUACUAGCAGGUGUUAGAGCAAAAAACAAAAAAAUUGCUGAGGACCAGCAAUUAAAAUAGGUCACUGAAAAGCCUACGGGACGGUGACCCUGGCCAGAAAUGUGUGAAUGCGCCGGCGCUGGUGUGAAUGAGAAGUGAGUUUUGUGAGUCGUAAGCGCUUUGUCAGUCUUACGUGUUGUCUUGUGUAUUGUCUUGUGCGCAAAGGUGACCUAACAAUUUAAUUUGCACAGGGUGUUAAUAUGAACAGGGGCCCCACCAGUUCAACAGCACUGGAAAAAAAAGGAAUGUGUAAUAAAGGUAUUGGUGUGAAGGUUUAAAGUUCAGGAACACAACGGCUGUUCCUUACAAGGGGAAGUAGGCCAUAUUACUGAAGGUUUCACGUAUAUGGGUAUAUGUGCUAGAAUAUAAAUAACAUUAUUUAACCACGCUAGCAUAACAAAAAAUGCACAAUCCUUUGUGGAGAUUGGGGUGCGGCCUUGAGAUCGGCCUGUGCCUGCUGGGCCUUAUCACUCUCGCCAUUGUUCUGCCAAUUGUUUUGCUUUUAUAAUCACACACACACACACACACACACACACACACACACACACACAUAUAUAUAUACACAUAUUCAUGUUUUGAAAAAGCGGCGGGAAAUGUAUGAAAUCUUUAUGAUUGCUUUGUUAUCUAGGCUACAAAAUUUGUGAAGCAUACGAUCAACCCCGUUACAGUCAAGAUCAGUCUGACAGUGUGUAAGAGGCGCAAUAUAUAUAUAUAUAGUAAUCCUGAAAAAAUUUAAAUAAAGUACUGUGGCCACAAAGGAUCAGAAUUGAUCCUAAGAUUACUAGCUGAAGUGUUGAUCAUGCUGAUUCACUCAUUAUCCGAAAGCGCAAACAGAGCAAUUUUUGAAAAACAUUUUGUGUGUUUAAAUUUUAGUGAUGAUUCUGACUGCAGCAACAAGGGGAUUUUAACUGAAAAGUGGGCAUAUGAGACGCAUAGAUUGAACAGACUUUAUGUGUUUACUGAAGACAAAGAACAGUGGAACGCAAUACGCAGUGCAAACUUACACAAGAUUGUGUUAGUGGACACAGCAUACGCGGCAUUGUGAAGAAAA